rnacentral:rRNA from 1 species
GACGAACGCUGGCGGCGUGCUUAACACAUGCAAGUCGAACGAAGUGGCGAACGGGUGAGUAACGCGUAAUCAACCUGCCCUUCAGAGGGGGACAACAGUUGGAAACGACUGCAAAUACCGCAUACUGAAGCAGGGGAUUGCGUCUGAUUGGCUCGUUGGGGGGGUAACGGCCCACCAAGGCGAUGCUCAGUAGCCGGUCGGAGAGGAUGAACGGCCAAAGUUGGACGGAGACACGGCCCAGACUCCGACGGGAGGCAGCAGGUGGGAAUCUUCCGAAAUGGACGAAAGUCUGACGGAGCAACGCCGCGGGAGUGAUGGCGGCCUUCGGGUUGUAAAGCUCUGUUAAUCGGGACGCGGUACCGGAAUAGAAAGCCACGGCUAACUACGUGCCAGCAGCCGCGGUAAUUC